rnacentral:rRNA from 1 species
UACGUAGGGUGCAAGCGUUGUCCGGAAUUAUUGGGCGUAAAGAGCUCGUAGGCGGUUUGUCGCGUCGAAUGUGAAAUCCCGGGGCUCAACCCCGGGUCUGCAUUCGAUACGGGCAGACUAGAGUUCGGUAGGGGAGUCUGGAAUUCCUGGUGUAGCGGUGAGAUGCGCAGAUAUCAGGAGGAACACCGGUGGCGAAGGCGGGUCUCUGGGCCGAUACUGACGCUGAGGAGCGAAAGCGUGGGGAGCGAACAGG